AGUGAACGCUGGCGGUAGGCCUAACACAUGCCAGUCGAACGGCAGCACAGUAAGAGCUUGCUCUUACGGGUGGCGAGUGGCGGACGGGUGAGGAAUACAUCGGAAUCUACUUUUUCGUGGGGGAUAACGUAGGGAAACUUACGCUAAUACCGCAUACGACCUACGGGUGAAAGCAGGGGAUCUUCGGACCUUGCGCGAUUGAAUGAGCCGAUGUCGGAUUAGCUAGUUGGCGGGGUAAAGGCCCACCAAGGCGACGAUCCGUAGCUGGUCUGAGAGGAUGAUCAGCCACACUGGAACUGAGACACGGUCAAGACUCCUACGGGAGGAAGCAGUGGGGAAUAUUGGACAAUGGGCGCAAGCCUGAUCCAGCCAUACCGCGUGGGUGAAGAAGGCCUUCGGGUUGUAAAGCCCUUUUGUUGGGAAAGAAAAGCAGCAGGUUAAUACCCCGCUGUUCUGACGGUACCCAAAGAAUAAGCACCGGCUAACUUCGUG
rnacentral:rRNA from 1 species